UGCGAAUCAGUGAGCAAUAUGUAUAUAUUAGAUGAAUCAUGACCUUUUGGUUCUACUUGAACUAAGUUACGCGAUAAAUAAUUUAUGCAUAUGACUUAUAGUCGAACGGUCACUAUGGGUUAAGUUUGAAUGGUGAAAUGGAAAUGUGAUAUGUUGAAUGAGAUGUGUUAAUAUAUAAUUAAAUAUGCAUGAUAUUUGAUGUGUAUCCAGGCUUAAAGACUCGCAGGCUUCGUGCUGGUAAAAUAUCCAGGUUAAAUCCAGUAGGCUUCGUGUUGGUAUUAUAUCCUGGAGAAAUCCCCCAGGCCUAGUACUGGU
rnacentral:lncRNA from 1 species